GACGAACGCUGGCGGCGUGCUUAACACAUGCAAGUCGAACGGAAAGGCCCUGCUUUUGUGGGGUGCUCGAGUGGCGAACGGGUGAGUAACACGUGAGUAACCUGCCCUUGACUUUGGGAUAACUUCAGGAAACUGGGGCUAAUACCGGAUAGGAGCUCCUGCUGCAUGGUGGGGGUUGGAAAGUUUCGGCGGUUGGGGAUGGACUCGCGGCUUAUCAGCUUGUUGGUGGGGUAGUGGCUUACCAAGGCUUUGACGGGUAGCCGGCCUGAGAGGGUGACCGGCCACAUUGGGACUGAGAUACGGCCCAGACUCCUACGGGAGGCAGCAGUGGGGAAUAUUGCACAAUGGGCGGAAGCCUGAUGCAGCAACGCCGCGUGCGGGAUGACGGCCUUCGGGUUGUAAACCGCUUUCGCCUGUGACGAAGCGUGAGUGACGGUAAUGGGUAAAGAAGCACCGGCUAACUACGUGCCAGCAGCCGCGGUGAUACGUAGGGUGCGAGCGUUGUCCGGAUUUAUUGGGCGUAAAGGGCUCGUAGGUGGUUGAUCGCGUCGGAAGUGUAAUCUUGGGGCUUAACCCUGAGCGUGCUUUCGAUACGGGUUGACUUGAGGAAGGUAGGGGAGAAUGGAAUUCCUGGUGGAGCGGUGGAAUGCGCAGAUAUCAGGAGGAACACCAGUGGCGAAGGCGGUUCUCUGGGCCUUUCCUGACGCUGAGGAGCGAAAGCGUGGGGAGCGAACAGGCUUAGAUACCCUGGUAGUCCACGCUGUAAACGGUGGGUACUAGGUGUGGGGUCCAUUCCACGGGUUCCGUGCCGUAGCUAACGCUUUAAGUACCCCGCCUGGGGAGUACGGCCGCAAGGCUAAAACUCAAUGGAAUUGACGGGGCCCCGCACAAGCGGCGGAGCAUGCGGAUUAAUUCGAUGCAACGCGUAGAACCUUACCUGGGUUUGACAUGGAUCGGGAGUGCUCAGAGAUGGGUGUGCCUCUUUUGGGGUCGGUUCACAGGUGGUGCAUGGCUGUCGUCAGCUCGUGUCGUGAGAUGUUGGGUUAAGUCCCGCAACGAGCGCAACCCUUGUUCACUGUUGCCAGCACGUUAUGGUGGGGACUCAGUGGAGACCGCCGGGGUCAACUCGGAGGAAGGUGGGGAUGACGUCAAGUCAUCAUGCCCCUUAUGUCCAGGGCUUCACGCAUGCUACAAUGGCUGGUACAGAGAGUGGCGAGCCUGUGAGGGUGAGCGAAUCUCGGAAAGCCGGUCUCAGUUCGGAUUGGGGUCCGCAACUCGACCUCAUGAAGUCGGAGUCGCUAGUAAUCGCAGAUCAGCAACGCUGCGGUGAAUACGUUCCCGGG
rnacentral:rRNA from 1 species